AAGUCGUAACAAGGUUUCCGUAGGUGAACCUGCGGAAGGAUCAUUAACAACGUAUCCACGUUUUAUCAACCAACUGUGAACUUGUUUUCAAAUCUCAACAAUGUUGUCCUACAUUCUUGGUCUUUCCUCUGAAAGCCACAUGGGAGUGUAGGAUGAUGAAUUUAAUUAUAUACACCAAUUUAACCUUCCUUUUCUACUAGUUGACUUUAUCUGUGCCGAAUUGGAGUUUACUCCCAUUCUCACACGUUUCUUAAUUGAACGAUAAAUUUACAACUCUUGGCGAUGGAUAUCUUGGUUCUC
rnacentral:misc_RNA from 1 species